AAUGCAAGAGGAGGCAGGUGUUCCAGAAGGAGGCACUUGGUAGAGAAAGGAAAGGAGGCUGGAGCAAGGACCCAAAGGACAAGGAGGAACUUGCCCUGCUGGGCUGUCAAAAAACACGGAAAGAUGAGGCUGAUUAGGUUGGAGGACGUCUGAUCCAGAUAAUCCUGAGCACUUGAAUUUCAACUUGAUCCUAGAGAUAUUUGAGAACCAGCACAUUUCCCCCCAGCUCCCAGGUCUAAAACCUUUGUGUAGGACCUUGAAGUCUUCGUAGACCCCAGACACCUUGCCUGUGGGCCUGAGAGAAUGAACAGCCCGGCCCACAGGGGCUCCUUGGACACUGUUGGAGAGAGCAAUUACACGCCAAGGAAGCGAGGCUCCAAAUAUACACACAACUGUGCAAAGGUGCAUGGAGACAGAUUUUCACUGUCAUCAAAAACUGAGAACAGACUAGUGUGCACAACAGAGGACUGAUAUAAAUGGCGAGACAUCCCAUUCUGAAACGGUCGGCAGCCACGGAAGAACACAGGCACGUGUUGGUAUGGAACAUCUACCUCAAUACAGCGCGAAGUGAAGAAAACUCAAGGUGCAGCACAGUGUGUAAUGUAUGACUUAUUUUGUGAAAAAAAGAAAAUAUACAUCUCACAC